ACUUGCAUUUUGUGAAUUUUGAAUAUUUGUUAUUUUCUUUUACCUAUAUUACCUCACAGAAAAACUUAUUAGUGUCUUGUAUUAGUGACCUGUACUGACUUGAUUUGCAUUUUGUAUUUUUUUUAAUUUUGUAUCUUCUUCAAUGUAUUUUUGGUUUUAUACCUCAUUUGCACUCACACUGUGGACCAUGGCUAAGAUAAGAGAAAAUGCAUCUAAAGGAGAGAUGACUCCUGCUGGCAGCAUGCUAAGCGUUCCAACAUCUUGGUGUGGUGGCUGCUAUUGUCUGGGUUUGGUGAAAUUACUGAAUAAGAUUGCUGGUAACUUUCAAUUGGAAUGAUUGGCUC
rnacentral:lncRNA from 1 species